rnacentral:rRNA from 1 species
UACGAAGGGAGCUAGCGUUGUUCGGAAUCACUGGGCGUAAAGCGCACGUAGGCGGAUUUGUCAGUCAGGGGGUGAAAUCCCGGGGGCUCAACCUCGGAACUGCCUUUGAUACAGCAAGUCUUGAGUUCGAGAGAGGUGGGUGGAAUUCCUAGUGUAGAGGUGAAAUUCGUAGAUAUUAGGAAGAACACCGGUGGCGAAGGCGGCCCACUGGCUCGAUACUGACGCUGAGGUGCGAAAGCGUGGGGAGCAAACAGG